UUUCCCGGUUGAUCCCGCCGGACCCGACUGCUAUUUGGGUGAGAAUAAGCCAUGCAAGUUGAAUGGAAUGCCAAAAUAUUCCAUGGCAAACUGCUCAAUAACACGUGAUCAACUUACCCUAUGGAAAACAAUAACCUCUGGAAACGGAGGAUAAUGGUUUAUAGUUGAAAAGGCUUGGAAAAGUUUUUCAAUAAAAGGGAAUAAUAAAAAUGGUUAUUAUUUUGCCAUAGGAUAGGAUUGCGGUCGAUUAUGGCCGUUGGUGAGGUAAUGGCUCACCAAACCAAUAAUCGAUAGGGGCCGUGAGAGCGGGAGCCCCGAGAUGGGUACUGAGACAACGACCCAGGCCUUACGAGGCGCAGCAGGCGCGAAAACUCCGCAAUACACGAAAGUGUGACGGGGUUACCCAAAGUGCUUAAUAUUUAAGCUGUGGUAAGUGUGUAAUGUACCUUACUAGAAAGGAGAGGGCAAGGCUGGUGCCAGCCGCCGCGGUAAAACCAGCUCUUCAAGUGGUCGGGAUAUUUAUUGGGCUUAAAGUGUCCGUAGCUUGUAUAAUAAGUUCCUGGUAAAAUCUAAUAGCUUAACUAUUAGUAUGCUAGGAAUACUGUUAUACUAGAGGGCGGGAGAGGUUUGAGGUACUUCAGGGGUAGGGGUGAAAUCCUAUAAUCCUUGAAGGACCACCAGUGGCGAAGGCGUCAGACUGGAACGCGCCUGACAGUGAGGGACGAAAGCCAGGGGAGCGAACCGGAUUAGAUACCCGGGUAGUCCUGGCCGUAAACGAUGCACACUAGGUGUUGGUAUGGCUAUGAGCCAUAUCAGUGCCGAAGGGAAACCAUUAAGUGUGCCGCCUGGGAAGUACGGUCGCAAGGCUAAAACUUAAAGGAAUUGGCGGGGGAGCACCACAAGGGGUGAAGCCUGCGGUUCAAUUGGAUUCAACGCCGGA
rnacentral:rRNA from 1 species